GUCAGUGUGGCAUAGUUGUUUUAGUGUUGGACUGUGAUUCUGGGGACCAGGGUUCCAUUCCCAGCUCUGCCA